GUAGUAGUGGGUGUAGCGUACCUACUAGCCUACGACGGGUACGGGUUGUGAGAGCAAGAGCCCGGAGAUGGAUUCUGAGACACGAAUCCAGGCCCUACGGGGUGCAGCAGGCGCGAAAACUUUACAAUGCUGGCAACAGCGAUAAGGGAACCUCGAGUGCCAGGUUACAAAUCUGGCUGUCGAGAUGCCUAAAAAGCAUUUCAUAGCAAGGGCCGGGCAAGACCGGUGCCAGCCGCCGCGGUAACACCGGCGGCUCGAGUGAUAACCGUUAUUAUUGGGUCUAAAGGGUCUGUAGCCGGCCGGAUAAGUCUCUUGAGAAAUCUGGCAGCUUAACUGUCAGGCUUUCAGGAGAUACUGUCUGGCUCGAGGCCGGGAGAGGUGAGAGGUACUUCAGGGGUAGGGGUGAAAUCUUGUAAUCCUUGAAGGACCACCAGUGGCGAAGGCGUCUCACCAGAACGGACCUGACGGCAAGGGACGAAAGCUAGGGGCACGAACCGGAUUAGAUACCCGGGUAGUCCUAGCCGUAAACGAUACUCGCUAGGUGUCGGCCACGGUGCGACCGUUGUCGGUGCCGUAGGGAAGCCGUGAAGCGAGCC
rnacentral:rRNA from 1 species